UACGGAGGGAGCUAGCGUUGUUCGGAUUUACUGGGCGUAAAGGGCGCGUAGGCGGCAAUUCAAGUCAGUUGUGAAAUCUCCGAGCUUAACUCGGAACGGUCAACUGAUACUGUUUUGCUAGAGUACAGAAGGGGCAAUCGGAAUUCUUGGUGUAGCGGUGAAAUGCGUAGAUAUCGUCAAGAACACCGAUAGUGUAGACAGCUUACUAGGCUUCAACUGACGCUGAGGCACGAAAGUGUGGGGAUCAAACAGG
rnacentral:rRNA from 1 species